rnacentral:rRNA from 1 species
AACUUGAGAGUUUGAUUCUGGCUCAGAACGAACGCUGGCGGCAUGCCUAACACAUGCAAGUCGAACGAGACCCCCGUCUUCGGAUGGCGGGUCUAGUGGCGCACGGGUGCGUAACGCGUGGGAAUCUGCCCUUGGGUUCGGGAUAACAGUUGGAAACGACUGCUAAUACCGGAUGAUGACUUCGGUCCAAAGAUUUAUUGCCCAGGGAUGAGCCCGCGUCGGAUUAGCUAGUUGGUGAGGUAAAAGCUCACCAAGGCGACGAUCCGUAGCUGGUCUGAGAGGAUGAUCAGCCACACUGGGACUGAGACACGGCCCAGACUCCUACGGGAGGCAGCAGUGGGGAAUAUUGGACAAUGGGCGAAAGCCUGAUCCAGCAAUGCCGCGUGAGUGAUG